UACGUAGGGGGCAAGCGUUGUCCGGAAUUAUUGGGCGUAAAGAGCUCGUAGGCGGUUGGGUAAGUCGGGUGUGAAAACUCCAGGCUCAACUUGGAGAUGCCACCCGAUACUGCUCUGACUUGAGUUCGGUAGGGGAGUGGGGAAUUCCUGGUGUAGCGGUGAAAUGCGCAGAUAUCAGGAGGAACACCGGUGGCGAAGGCGCCACUCUGGGCCGAAACUGACGCUGAGGAGCGAAAGCGUGGGUAGCAAACAGG
rnacentral:rRNA from 1 species